CCUACGGGUGGCAGCAGUGAGGAAUAUUGGUCAAUGGGCGGAAGCCUGAACCAGCCAAGUCGCGUGAGGGAUUAAGGCCCUGCGGGUCGUAAACCUCUUUUGCCGGGGAGCAGUGGUCCGGACGCGUCCGGACCGGGAGAGUACCCGGAGAAAAAGCAUCGGCUAACUCCGUGCCAGCAGCCGCGGUAAUACGGAGGAUGCGAGCGUUAUCCGGAUUUAUUGGGUUUAAAGGGUGCGUAGGCGGGCAUUUAAGCCGGCGGUCAAAUGUCGGGGCUCAACCCCGGCCUGCCGUCGGAACUGGGUGCCUUGAGUGGGCGAGAAGUAUGCGGAAUGCGUGGUGUAGCGGUGAAAUGCAUAGAUAUCACGAAGAACUCCGAUUGCGAAGGCAGCUUACUAAACUGCCACUGACAUUGAUGCUCGAAAGUGUGGGUAUCAAACAGGAUUAGAUACCCUAGUAGUC
rnacentral:rRNA from 1 species